rnacentral:lncRNA from 1 species
ACACUCUGGUUCCCCAUUUGAUGCAGGAGGCAGAUAUACCUGCAGUGGUGUUGGAGGCAGAGACAGCAUUAGACUUGCAAUGAACCCCUUGAUGCAUCUUAUCAAUCUCUAUUUAUGUAUUUAUCUUGGCUCCACCAGAUUUAUGAUUCAUUCAGUAAGCCACCACCCGCUUCAUCUCCUUCGUUCGAAGGGCCAGAUUCUACAGUUCACUCCAUUGCGAGCACGCCCAUCCUUCUGGCAAAGGCAGAAAUACCUUUCAGGCAAAAAUUCUAGCAAGACAAGAGGUAUCUAGUGACACAUGCAUAAGUAGAAAUGCAGACUACCUGAGGAAGCCUUCGUGCAAACAAAAUAGAUUAGGUGCAUUAAGCAUAUACCUUGACUUGACAGGUCCUUGUGAGAUAGAGAGGAUCCUUGUAUAAGCUUCAUCGGUGAAUGGGAUGAUGAUCCGAGUUACUGUACCUGACGGCAAGGACAUACUCUCUCUGAUAUUCACUGCUACUGGAAAAUCUUUGCCACACUACAGGUGUCGUAGAAAUUCCACCUGACCUGGCAAGGUGGUAUGUUUGACUCCUCAUAGAUGCUUCCCUUAUGCCUCUAGUUACUGCGAAACAAUAACACAGAAACAUCCUAAAUAACUCUCAGC